rnacentral:rRNA from 10 species
CACCAGGUUGAUUCUGCCUGAUAUGUGUGCUAGCGUCAAAGAUUUAGCCAUGCAUGCUUUUCGAACCCUCGUGGGGAGAGGCGGAUAGCUCAGUAAUACAGUUACAACAUAAGCUGCGUGUGUGGAUAACCUUGUUAAGAUAAGGCUAAGACUUAGCGUGUCGCACUUUUGUGAAGAAAGGCGACUUGAGCAGCAUUGGUUUCUGACCUAUCAGUUAGUAUGUUCUGUAAGGGAGAACAUAGACUAUGACGGGUAACGGGGGAUGCACGUCUGAUACCGGAGAGGAAGCCUUAGAGACAGCUUUCACGUCCAAGGAUGGCAGCAGGCGCGAAACUUACCCAAUUGUUUUUUGUGACAGAGGUAGUUAUGACGUAUUCUUUAGAGAGAGACCUUGUUAGACAUGGUCCAUAGCGACUGGAGGGCAAGUCUGGUGCCAGCAGCCGCGGUAAUUCCAGCUCCAGUAGUGCAUAUACAUGCUGUAGUUAGAAAGUUUGUAGCCUAUUUAUGGAUUGUUUUAGACAAAAGGACGACUCAAAUUGACCUUUCAUUUGACUAAUGCAUGAAUGUAGAAGCGAUUGAAGGCGAUUGUAUUCACCAGCCAGAGGUAAAAUUUGAUGACCUGGUGAGGACACACGGAGGCGAAAGCGAUUGCCUAGAGCGUAUUCAGUGGUCAAGAACGUAAGCCGGAGGAUCAAAGAUGAUUAGAUACCGUUGUAGUUCCGGCCGUAAAUUAUGCCAACUUGUGCUUCUGCUUCUGCGGAGGCGCAUAGAGAAAUCAAGAGUUUAUGGGCUCUAGGGAUAGUAAUCCGGCAACGGACAAACUUAAAGAAAUUGGCGGAAGGACACCACAAGGAGUGGAUUAUGCGGCUUAAUUUGACUCAACGCGGGACAACUCACCAGAGCCUAUGUGCAGGAGACAGUGAGCUUUGAGAGCGGACUGGAUAGUACUUUGAGUGGUGCAUGGCCGUUUGCAACACGUGAGGUGACUUGUCAGGUUUACUCCGGUAACGUGUGAUGUGCUGUAUGCAAGUAUUUUUGUGAGACUGCAGGCGGUAAGCCUGAUGAAGCGGCGCUAUAACAGGUCAGUGAUGCCCUUGGAUGUUCUGGGCUGCACGCGUAAUACAGUGGGUGCUGUAGAUAUAUAUAGGUGGAAAAGGGCCCGAGACUGGGAUCAUGCUUUGUAAGAAGGAAUGUGAACGUGGAAUUCCUAGUAAUCGCUGCUCACUAAGUAGCGAUGAAUGAGUCCCUGUUCUUUGCACACACCGCCCGUCGCUAUCUGAGAUGGAUGUUUUUAUGAAGAUGCUGCUGUUAGAGGCAUUUGAGUAAGGACGACUAGAUUAGAUAUAAGUCGUAACAAGGCAGCGGUAGAAGAAUCUGCCGCUAGAUCAUAC